UAUGCAUUAAACAAUAAUAAUUAAAAUAUUAAAUGAAGUAGACAAUUAGUGUGACACAUCAUUGGAGAUUCAAUGCAGGAGCAGGACUAAAUAAUAGGUAUAGUUCAGUGGUUUUUUAUUUAUUUUAUGAAUUUUUUCAAGUUUUUCCGUUGUGUAUUCUUCUGUGUUAAAUAUUUCAAUUUUGACUUCUGUUUUUCUGCCUUAUUCAUUUCUCGUAUACGUAUGUACAUUCUUGUACGGACCAGGCAUUCUAUGACUUCAUUUGGUAUCAUUAUGCAUUUUUCAUUUACAUACUGAUUAAUUAUAGUGAUUAAUUUUUUGACGAUACCCCUUUCAUUAUCAAAUUCUUGCAUAAAAAUGGUUUCAAGGACUUUUAACACAUUCCAAAGAUCUUUUGAUGGACACGUAAGAUACCCUAAAAAUAAUAAACAGCAAAUUUGAUUUUUAACAACAUUUUUUUAGAUUACUGGAAUGCAGAAUACAAACUACAAAUAACCUUUUGAUAUAUGAGACAUCCAUGAUCCACUUUCAAUAUUUGUUUCAUUGUUAUUAUCCUCAAGGAAUGGAUAUUUAUUUUUAAAUUUUUUUGUUACAGAACCAGAUAUGUACAUCAAAUUACCUUCCUCGCAUGGAUCUUUUGCAGUGUAUAAUUCUUCAACAGUUGUCUAAAACCACAAUGGUUUCUUAAAGAUAAAUUUGAAAUCAGAAUUCCCUUUUGGAAUGUCAUAAGUUGUUUUUUUCCGUGUACUCUCAUUGUACUAAUAAAAUUAUCCAUCAAAUUUAAAAUAUGGUUCUGUUCAUCCAAAUUUAUUCCAUAUGCACUGGAAUUGUCCCCUAACAUUUGCUGAGAGUUAUGAAGAUCGAACCAGUUAUUUAUCAACAAAAUUGCUUCUGAACACUAAAUUUAAUAUAAACCAUUAUUAUAAUGUUAGUGCACCCGUGUCUCCAUAGUAUUGCAUUGCUUUAGCAACGGUCCUGGAAAGAAGUUGGGCCGCGGUUUUAACUUUUUGACGUUGAACUCCACUGACAUUUAAGUGAAACUCUGUCACUUUUAACCAUAUUAAAUCCAUGAUCAAUGAUGUUAUUUCUUAUCAAUUUCAAUAAAUGUGGUACAUCAGCAAAGACAUGGAUGUUUUUUCCAGUGUUUGGAUGUAAAAAACUACUAUUUGUAUGGGUAAUUUUCAAUGAAUUCCACAAAGAAAUGUUAGUAGUGCAACGUGCUCUGAUACUUAUAUUAAAUAUAAUAUAUAAAUUACUACAUACCAUAGCCAACAAUAACCUAACAUUGGGGGUGCAAUAGACAUUUUAUGAUAGGGGUGUAAAAUAUUACUAUAAUCGGAUUCUAAAGGUGAGCAGGAGAUUAAGUACAUUUUUCUUAAACAUAUUAAUAUAAAUCAUCAACGGCGGCGGAGCGGCGUAAUAAUGCCGAACGCAGCGACAAUAGUACAUUGUACCAAAUUAUACUAUGUGGCGGCAUCGUUCAGGGUCAAAGACGGAUCAUCGCACGUAUGCUUGUCACCCGGUAUAAAAUAUUAUAGGCACACAAUUACCAUCCGAUAGAAUAAUAGGAAUAUUGUUUGACGCACGACAUCGUUCAGAUAACGCAAAGCGUGGGAAGAAGCGGAUGCAGGUGCAGAUGACCAUCAGGGAUCUGAAGGUACCGCGGGAGUCCCUGGACGAUAUAUAAGGGGGCCCAGAUUAGGCACAAUUCAGACGUGAUCCACCAGAGUUAGCGCAAGCACCUUCACGUCACCCAGUUUAAUAUUUUAUGUCUCCUGGACUUAGAAUAUUUUUCACAAGUUUUAUUAAAUUAAAUAAUUGGACUUAGAAUAAUUUUAAAUAAAAAACACUUAGAAUAAUUUCGAGAGUUCAAUUAUUUCACAAAACCUUUUCCAAAUCGACAUCAUUCAACUGAUUGUACGUGGCACGUUACAAAUUUGGCGCAGUCGGUAGGAUUCUUUCAAAUAAGGAUUCUUUGGACGAACAAUUUUAAUUUUUUCGAACUUAGAAAAUUUUCGGAAAAAAAUAUUUUUUUUUUCCACUUCGAAAAUUUUUCGAAAAAAUUUAAAAUAUAUCCACUUCGAAGAAUUCACGGAGGCACAUUCGGCAACGAAUCACGGUUGAAGAAGACAACUGCAGAACGUCAACUUCAGCGACUCCGAAAGAGAAAGAAUCAACAAGUAACACCACGGCUCAGCAAUCAAGAAGAAUGGAAGCAUCAACUCAAACCAUCGUUGUGUAAGCAUAAUUUUUUUUUUCUUAAUGUAGACUAAUUUUAAGCGUCUAACUCUGUUCGCGUCUCCUUUGGAAUUAAAAACUCCAUCGUAUAAGUUACUUUUAAUUGUGAAGGUGUAUAUAUAUAUUCCCCGUGAAAAAUUAAAUAAAAUAUCUUGAUAAAAUUAAAUAAAUAAUUUAAAAAGGGAAAAAUUUAGAAUAAGCAAAAAUAAAAAUAAUAAAAAAAACGCAACGAUUAAAUAAAUUUAAUAUUUUAAUAAUACACUUAGAUUAUUUUUACGCAUAAAAUUUUUAUUCAAUAAUAAAAUAAUACAACUUUAUUUUAGUUAUAAAAUAUAUAAAUAUUUCAAAUAUAAAUAAUUUUUCGAGGAACAAAUAAAUAAA